rnacentral:misc_RNA from 1 species
GUAUUGUAUUGCGUUAAACGCGGCAUACAUUCCAUGAGACUUCGUUACAGAGUGUGUGUAAAGACGUAGAACCACGACAGGAGAACAGAGUCCCCCAAGCCAUAGAACUACAGAGGGUGCACAGGUGUGAGUGGAUGUGUAAACAGAGCGUGCACAUGCCCUCGUUUGAGGACCAGCAACAACUCGUGUCGACAAUUCGGUAAUGAUCCUUCCGCAGGUUCACCUACGGAAA